GUUACUAAUUGUUUAAAAUUGACUCAUAUGCCCCAUGGACUAGGACAAUUAACUUCUCUUGAGAUACUACCACAGUUUGUUGUGAGUAAGGUAGGUUCUAGAGCUAGGUCUAGUUGUGGGCUAAGUGAAUUGAAAGAGUUGAGCAAUUUGGGAGGACGCUUAUGGAUUGGAUAUCUAGGACAUGAAAAAGAGGACAUGCUGAAAUGUCAAGCUGCAAAUAUGAAGGAGAAACAUCUUCAACAAUUGAUUUUACGGUGGGAUCGAUUACGGAAUGGAGAAACCACAUGUUGUGAUGAAAUAGCAUUGAAAUGGCUCCAACCACAUCCAAAUCUUAAAGCAUUGGAGUUAUGGUCUUAUAUGGGUGUGACAAUUCCAAGUUGGAUCUCUUUGCUCACUAAUCUUGUCAAUUUGGAAUUUUGGCAUACUCAUAAAUGCCAUCACCUCCCACUGUUAUAUCAACUCCCUUUUCUUAAGUCUCUCAGUCUUGUAGAUAUGGGAGAGCUUGAAUACAUAUCAGAAGACACUACUAGUCUAUCCUUUACUUCAUCGUUGUCUUCCUCGAAAACAUUAUUUUUCACAUCCUUAAUUACUCUCACAUUAUGGGAUUGCCCCAAUGUGAAGGGAUGGUGGAGGAUAGAUGAUAACGCUCAACCAGAGCAUUUGUUAAUACCAUCAUUUCCUCAUCCUUCGGAAUUAGAAAUUAGUUUUUGCCCGAACCUGAUUUGCAUGCCACUAUUUCCGUAUCUCAAAGAAGGGUUGACAUUGACUGAAGUUAGCUCCAAAGUAUUGCAACAAACAAUGGAUAUGGUAGUAACGCAAAACCCAUCAACGACAUUCUCAACCUCCUCAGGUUGCUUUCCUCUUUCUGAAUUAGAGACUUUGCAGUUAGAAUGGGUUAAUGAUUUAGAAUCACUUCCAGAUGCAUGGCUACGAAAUCUUGUUUCACUUCGAAGACUUUCCAUUUUCAACUGUAAUGGACUAAGGUCUUUCCCUGGUGGAGGCAUUCAACAUCUCACCUCACUUCAAGAUAUGAAAAUUUGGGAUUGUAACGAGCUUGUUUUGCUAAAUGAUGAAGAUGAUGGUAUGCAAUGGCAAGGCCUUGGGAGCCUUAGUUCACUCUAUUUUACUGGACUUCCAAAACUGCUGUCUCUACCAAAUGGACUUCAACAUAUUACCACUCUUCAAAUACUCCAAAUUCGUGAUUUUCCUAAUUUGACAGCUUUACCAGAGUGGAUAGGUAACCUCAAAUCACUUCAAGAGCUUAACAUUAGCAAAUGGCCCAAUUUGACAUCAUUGCCUCAAGAGAUUUGUUAUCUCACCUCUUUACAAGAUUUGGAGAUUGAAAAUUUUCCUAAUUUGAUUGCUUUACCAGAGUGGAUAGGUAAUCUUACAUUACUACAAAGGUUUAAAAUUGACGAAUACCCCAAUUUGACAUCAUUGCCUGAUGGAAUGCGCCAUCUCACCUCUUUACAAUAUCUUAACAUUGAAAAUUGUCCCAAUUUGGUGGCUUUACCCGAGUGGAUAGGCAACCUCACAUCACUACAAAAGCUUGAAAUUAGCCGUUGCCCCAAUCUGAGAUCAUUGCCUCAAGGGAUUCGCCAUCUCUCCACUUUACAAUGCCUUACAAUUGCUAAUUGUCCUCUUUUACGACAAAGAUGUCUGAGACAGACAAGUGAAGAUUGGCCUUAGAUUGCUCAUAUUCAAUACUUAGAUGUGGAUUGGUACCUGGAGUAUGCAAUAGAACCAAUUGAGGCAAAGAAUAAAGUUUGGCUCAAAAUUCGGACCUUAUUUGAAAACAGAAAUUGUGCAGCAUGUCACAAACCUCAGUAGUAGUCAUCUCUUCUCUCAUCUUUUUUUUUUUCUUUCUUCUAUCCAGUUCUAUUUUUUUUCCUAUCCAAAAAUUUUUAAUUAGACACGUGAUUUCUUCACAUUAUUAGAAGAAAGAAAA